GCUCUACACCCUUUGUGACAUACCUACAACUGUUGCUUCGGCGGGUAGGGUCCCCGUGACCCUCCCGGCCUCCCGCCCCCCCGGGCGGGUCGGCGCCCGCCGGAGGAUAACCAAACUCUGAUUUAACGACGUUUCUUCUGAGUGGUACAAGCAAAUAAUCAAAACUUUUAACAACGGAUCUCUUGGUUCUGGCAUCGAUGAAGAACGCAGCGAAAUGCGAUAAGUAAUGUGAAUUGCAGAAUUCAGUGAAUCAUCGAAUCUUUGAACGCACAUUGCGCCCGCCAGCAUUCUGGCGGGCAUGCCUGUUCGAGCGUCAUUUCAACCCUCAAGCUCUGCUUGGUGUUGGGGCCCUACAGCUGAUGUAGGCCCUCAAAGGUAGUGGCGGACCCUCCCGGAGCCUCCUUUGCGUAGUAACUUUACGUCUCGCACUGGGAUCCGGAGGGACUCUUGCCGUAAAACCCCCCAAUUUUCCAAAGGUUGACCUCGGAUCAGGUAGGAAUACCCGCUGAACUUAAGCAUAUCAAUARGSSGGRRGGAA
rnacentral:rRNA from 1 species